AUUAGCAAGGGGUGAUGAGGCGCAUCAGGGUUUAUCAAUUAUAGAACAGAUUUCUGUAGAGGGAUACAAAGUUCUUUGAGUUUUAAGCUGUUGCUAGUAGUUCUCUGGUGGAUAGAUUUAUUUAGUUAGCUAAGUUUAGGGAUAAGCAUGGUGGGGUAUCUAAUCCCAGUUUGGGUCUUAGCUAUCGUGUGGUCGAAGGUGUUACAGUUACUUUCGUGCUAUAUUUUUAUGUUAACUGUAGCUUUUUACUGCCUAGUUAACAUUUAACUUUAGCGAUCAGAAAAGCACAC